rnacentral:rRNA from 1 species
UUGAGGUGUAAAAUUUAAUUAAAAGAAUUUACUUGAGUAUUACGAGUUGCAUAAAGAUAAUUUGUUGCAGGAAUCUUAAAACUCAAAAGACUUGGCGGUAUUUUAGGUCCUUCUAGGGGAACCUGUCCUGUAAUCGAUAGUCCACGAUUUACCUUUCCUUUUCUUGAAAUGUUCAGCUUGUAUACCGCCGUCGUCAGAUUACCUUUAAGAGUUAAAUAAGUUAUCGGAAGGACUUUUGUAGAUUGGUGUUAUAUUUCAGAUUAUAAAAUUUGAAAUUUAAUACUAUAAAAACAGUUUUCUGGAUGUCAGAUCAAGGUGCAGCUAAUGAAAAGGUAGAGAUGGGUUACAAUAAUUAUUUAUUAUUAACGGAUUUCUUAUUGAAAAUUAUAAGAAUUGAAGGCGGACUUAGAAGUAAUUUAUAAAAAUAGAAAAUUUAGGUGAAAAUGGCACUAAGAUGUG